rnacentral:lncRNA from 1 species
GUUGAUAGACUGGAUGCUGCUAUGGUAAUCUGCCUCAGGAAAAUGCCGGACUGUUGUUUGCAAGCUGGUUAAGUGAGCAAAUCUUGGGAAGAUUUCAAGUUUUUAUCUUCAGGAAACUCCCAAGCAUUCUGGAAGCUCUGCAUGUGAGUAAGAACCACUGCUGUUGCUGUUGCUGUAGCUGCCUGAAUCUAUGGCAAAAAGCCAGGAAAAAAAAAUUGCUUCACACCAUGUGCACCGACUCCCCUGGAGCUGGCACCGCCAGGGCGUCUGCAGAGCUAUGUCUGACAGUCCUGCCAUUUCCUAACUUCUCCUGUGUGGUCAUCCACCUACCUUUGGGAACCUCCAGUCAUUACUCACAGAGUUGGUCUCAUCCUGGGAACUCUCUCUUGCCUCUCCCAGUGGUUCAUUCUCCAAGUCUGAGUUAUUUGGUCAAAAAAACCCCCAAAUGCUUCAGACAACUCUCGCAAACUUGUCAUAGCUUUUGGUAUUCCAGGCCACAGAAGAGCCCAGGUGGGUACAUGGGCCCUCCAAGUGUUUGUUUCCUCACCACUGUGAGUGACAAAUAG